ACUGUUUUGGCAGAAUUUUAGUGUGAUAAAUUUAGAAUUUAUUAAUGUAAUAUAUAUUACAGACAGUA
rnacentral:tRNA from 1 species